rnacentral:rRNA from 1 species
AACCCCUGCCGGCGCGUUUCUCGAUCCCGUUGACUCGCGCCGCGGCGGAGACCACGCGCCGUAGGCCCCCGAGCCAGGCGGCGGUAAGUUGGCAAUCCGCCGCGAUCACGCUUGUAGGUCCGGGACCGGCGCGCCGAACCCCACUCUCCGCGUACCCGACCCCGUUGCUUCCCCGGGGAGAUCCCCGGGGGAGGUCCCCGAGCACGCCAUGCCGCCCAACCCCACCCGCGCCCCCUCCGUCUGAAGGCGAUCGAGCCUACCAACGGGGAAUCAGAUAGGUAACGAAAACAAAACUUUCAACAACGGAUCUCUUGGCUCCCGCAUCGAUGAAGAACGCAGCGAAAUGCGAUAAGUAAUGUGAAUUGCAGAAUUCAGUGAAUCAUCGAAUCUUUGAACGCACAUUGCGCCCCCCGGCAUUCCGGGGAGCAUGCCUGUUCGAGCGUCUCUGGAAAUACCCCUCACGCCGGCGGAGGCGUGGUCAUGGCGGAGGUGGCGUGCCCCGAGCGGGGAGGCCACCGCGCCGGAAUCCAUGGGCGGACGCCUGCUGCGCGGCCGAGCGUGAUAUGACGCAUUGGCGCUCGCGCGCGGCGAGGCUGCCGGCCCUGGCCCGUCCGUCGGGCGGGGA